rnacentral:misc_RNA from 1 species
GAAAUGCGAUAAGUAAUGUGAAUUGCAGAAUUCAGUGAAUCAUCGAAUCUUUGAACGCACCUUGCGCUCCUUGGUAUUCCUUGGUGCAUGCCUGUUUGAGUAUCAUGAAAUCUUCAAAGUAAAUCUUUUGUUAACUCAAUUGGUUUCUACUUUGGUAUUGGAGGUCUUUGCAGCUUCACACCUGCUCCUCUUUGUUCAUUAGCUGGAUCUCAGUGUUAUGCUUGGUUCCACUCGGCGUGAUAAGUUAUCUAUCGCUGAGGACACUGUAAAAGGUGGCCAAGGUAAAUGCAGAUGAACCGCUUCUAAUAGUCCAUUGACUUGGACAAUACUUUUAUGAUCUGAUCUCAAAUCAGGUAGGACUACCCGCUGAACUUAAGC